rnacentral:rRNA from 1 species
UACGAAGGGGGCUAGCGUUGCUCGGAAUCACUGGGCGUAAAGCGCACGUAGGCGGCUUUCUAAGUCAGGGGUGAAAUCCUGGAGCUCAACUCCAGAACUGCCUUUGAUACUGGAGAGCUCGAGUCCGGAAGAGGUGAGUGGAACUGCGAGUGUAGAGGUGAAAUUCGUAGAUAUUCGCAAGAACACCAGUGGCGAAGGCGGCUCACUGGCCCGGUACUGACGCUGAGGUGCGAAAGCGUGGGGAGCAAACAGGG